rnacentral:rRNA from 1 species
AUAGGAAGGAACUCGGCAAACAUGCACUUCGCCUGUUUUUUAAAAACAUCGCCUCUUGCAAUUAAGGUAUUAGAGGUCCUGCCUGCCCAGGGACAUUAAGUUUAACGGCCGCGGUAUUAUGACCGUGCAAAGGUAGCGUAAUCACUUGUCGUCUUUUAAAUAAAGACCAGUAUGAAUGGCAAGACGAAAGUUCAACUGUCUCCCUAAAUAAUAAUCAGUGAAAUUGAUUUCUCCGUGCAGAAGCGGAGAUAAAAUUAUAAGACGAGAAGACCCUCCUAUGGAGCUUUAAACAUAUAAUCAAUUGUAUUCCAUAAAAUCCGAAAGAUAAAAUAUAAAAUAAUAAAACAAUAUGAUUAAAAUUUUAGGUUGGGGCGACCACGGAGAAAAACAAAACCUCCGAGAUGAAAAGAAUAUCUUAAUUUAAGAACCACAAUUCCAAAAAAUAAAAUAUUUAACAUAAUAAUUGAUCCAAUAUUUUGAUCAACGAACCAAGUUACCCUAGGGAUAACAGCGCAAUCCUCUCCUCCAAGAGUCCCUAUCGACGAGUGGGUUUACGACCUCGAUGUUGGAUCAGGACACCCCGAUGGUGCAGCCGCUAUUAAAGGGUCGUUUGUUCAACGAUUAAAGUCCUACGUGAUCUGGUUCAGCCCGAGAAACCAGGACAGUUUU